rnacentral:rRNA from 1 species
UCCUACGGGAGGCAGCAGUAGGGAAUCUUCCGCAAUGGACGAAAGUCUGACGGAGCAACGCCGCGUGAGUGAUGAAGGCUUUCGGGUCGUAAAACUCUGUUGUUAGGGAAGAACAAGUGCUAGUUGAAUAAGCUGGCACCUUGACGGUACCUAACCAGAAAGCCACGGCUAACUACGUGCCAGCAGCCGCGGUAAUACGUAGGUGGCAAGCGUUAUCCGGAAUUAUUGGGCGUAAAGCGCGCGCAGGUGGUUUCUUAAGUCUGAUGUGAAAGCCCACGGCUCAACCGUGGAGGGUCAUUGGAAACUGGGAGACUUGAGUGCAGAAGAGGAAAGUGGAAUUCCAUGUGUAGCGGUGAAAUGCGUAGAGAUAUGGAGGAACACCAGUGGCGAAGGCGACUCUCUGGUCUGUAACUGACGCUGAGGAGCGAAAGCGUGGGGAGCGAACAGGAUUAGAUACCCUGGUAGUCCACGCCGUAAACGAUGAGUGCUAAGUGUUAGGGGGUUUCCGCCCCUUAGUGCUGCAGCUAACGCAUUAAGCACUCCGCCUGGGGAGUACGGUCGCAAGACUGAAACUCAAAGGAAUUGACGGA